rnacentral:lncRNA from 1 species
UGUAAUAAUAAACAUUUGUUACUUAAGAAAAUUGAAAUAGAAAAAUAAUUGUAAUAAUAAACAAACUUAAUUUUAAUUUUAUUAUUCUCCUUUUGGAUGUAUCAAGAAGAAUAUAAUUUUAUUAUUUUAUAAUAUAUAAAAAGCUCAUGGUUUCCUUUUUGUUUUUCUUUUUGAAUGGGAGCUAAUGCUUUCCUAAUAUAAAUUCAAUAGGUUUUAGUCCUUAUGGAGUUUUAAAAAUCAAUUCCUAAAACAAAUCAUUAUUAAAUGUAUCAUAAAACAUUCAUUGCUGAUUUUUGUCUCUUCAACGCACUUAGCUUGACACUUCCAUAGAAUACUUACUGAUCAUAAGAAUUCAUUCUUUUUUUUAACACAUAUACACCAUCCCAAACUACACCUCGGUUUAAAAGGGAGUGGACAAUAAUUUUUGGGACAAUCAGAAUCUUCAACACAUUUAACAGCAGCUGUAAUGAAAAAAGAAAAUAAAGUAAUAUAACUAUAAUGUGAUAAAAUAUUGUGUCGGAAGUAAAUAAGGAAAUUAAAAUAAAUAAAUAAAUAAAAGUUACCGUUAACGUUCAUUGCAAGUAGAAAUUGAAAAAGAAAGAUAAUCACAACACAGACAAAUUUAACAAUUUCAUCCAUAUUUUCACCUUUGCAUAUAUAAAGUAGAAUAUAAAUUUUAUCACUUUAUAAUUUAUAAAGUUUUUGUACUGCUUACAUUAAUAAGAAUAUUACUAAAUGAUUCUUAAGUACAUUAAAGUGUUGUAUUUGUCUCUUCUGC